rnacentral:rRNA from 1 species
GACGAACGCUGGCGGCGUGCUUAACACAUGCAAGUCGAACGGAAAGGCCCUGCUUUUGUGGGGUGCUCGAGUGGCGAACGGGUGAGUAACACGUGAGUAACCUGCCCUUGACUUUGGGAUAACUUCAGGAAACUGGGGCUAAUACCGGGUAGGAGCUCCUGCUGCAUGGUGGGGGGUGGAAAGUUUCGGCGGUUGGGGAUGGACUCGCGGCUUAUCAGCUUGUUGGUGGGGUAGUGGCUUACCAAGGCUUUGACGGGUAGCCGGCCUGAGAGGGUGACCGGCCACAUUGGGACUGAGAUACGGCCCAGACUCCUACGGGAGGCAGCAGUGGGGAAUAUUGCACAAUGGGCGGAAGCCUGAUGCAGCAACGCCGCGUGCGGGAUGACGGCCUUCGGGUUGUAAACCGCUUUCGCCUGUGACGAAGCGUGAGUGACGGUAAUGGGUAAAGAAGCACCGGCUAACUACGUG